rnacentral:tRNA from 1 species
GGGUAUAGCUCAGUGGUGGACUGCAUGCUUAGCAUGCAUGAGGCCCUGGGUUCAGUUCCCAGUACUACCA